AUUGAACGCUAGCGGCAUGCCUUACACAUGCAAGUCGAACGGCAGCGCGGACUUCGGUCUGGCGGCGAGUGGCGAACGGGUGAGUAAUGCAUCGGAACGUGCCCAGUAGCGGGGGAUAACUACGCGAAAGCGUAGCUAAUACCGCAUACGCCCUACGGGGGAAAGGGGGGGAUCGCAAGACCUCUCACUAUUGGAGCGGCCGAUGUCGGAUUAGCUAGUUGGUGGGGUAAAGGCCUACCAAGGCGACGAUCCGUAGCUGGUUUGAGAGGACGACCAGCCACACUGGGACUGAGACACGGCCCAGACUCCUACGGGAGGCAGCAGUGGGGAAUUUUGGACAAUGGGGGCAACCCUGAUCCAGCCAUGCCGCGUGUGCGAAGAAGGCCUUCGGGUUGUAAAGCACUUUUGGCGGGAAAGAAACGGCGCCGGAUAAUACCUGGCGUAACUGACGGUACCCGCAGAAUAAGCACCGGCUAACUACGUGCCAGCAGCCGCGGUAAUACGUAGGGUGCAAGCGUUAAUCGGAAUUACUGGGCGUAAAGCGUGCGCAGGCGGUUCGGAAAGAAAGAUGUGAAAUCCCAGGGCUCAACCUUGGAACUGCAUUUUUAACUCCCGAACUAGAGUAUGUCAGAGGGGGGUGGAAUUCCACGUGUAGCAGUGAAAUGCGUAGAUAUGUGGAGGAACACCGAUGGCGAAGGCAGCCCCCUGGGAUAAUACUGACGCUCAUGCACGAAAGCGUGGGGAGCAAACAGGAUUAGAUACCCUGGUAGUCCACGCCCUAAACGAUGUCAACUAGCUGUUGGGUUCUUCGGAGCUUGGUAGCGCAGCUAACGCGUGAAGUUGACCGCCUGGGGAGUACGGUCGCAAGAUUAAAACUCAAAGGAAUUGACGGGGACCCGCACAAGCGGUGGAUGAUGUGGAUUAAUUCGAUGCAACGCGAAAAACCUUACCUACCCUUGACAUGUCUGGAAUCCUGAAGAGAUUUAGGAGUGCUCGAAAGAGAACCGGAACACAGGUGCUGCAUGGCCGUCGUCAGCUCGUGUCGUGAGAUGUUGGGUUAAGUCCCGCAACGAGCGCAACCCUUGUCAUUAGUUGCUACGAAAGGGCACUCUAAUGAGACUGCCGGUGACGAACCGGAGGAAGGUGGGGAUGACGUCAGGUCCUCAUGGCCCUUAUGGGUAGGGCUUCACACGUCAUACAAUGGUCGGGACAGAGGGCAGCCAACCCGCGAGGGGGAGCCAAUCCCAGAAACCCGAUCGUAGUCCGGAUUGCAGUCUGCAACUCGACUGCAUGAAGUCGGAAUCGCUAGUAAUCGCGGAUCAGCAUGUCGCGGUGAAUACGUUCCCGGGUCU
rnacentral:rRNA from 1 species